CCUACGGGUGGCAGCAGUGGGGAAUCUUGCACAAUGGGGGAAACCCUGAUGCAGCAACGCCGCGUGAGCGAUGAAGGCCCUCGGGUCGUAAAGACCUUUUCUCAGGGAAGAAUACUGACGGUACCUUAGGAGGAAACCCCGGCGAACUACGUGCCAGCAGACGGGGUAAUACGCAGGGGGCUCACGUUAUCCGGAAUUACAGGGCGUAAAGGGUGCGUAGGCGGCGCUUUAAGUCUGAGGUGAAAGGGUAAGGCUCAAAUGUAGUAAGCCUGUGAAACGGUAGGGCUUGAGGGCAGGAGAGGAGAGUGGAAUUCCCAGUGUAGCGGUGAAAUGCGUAGAUAUUGGGAGGAACAUCAGUGGCGAAGGCGGCACUCUGGACUGUAACUGACGCUGAGGCACGAAAGCGUGGGGAGCGAACAGGAUUAGAUACCCUAGUAGUC
rnacentral:rRNA from 1 species